rnacentral:rRNA from 1 species
AAACGACUCUCGGCAACGGAUAUCUCGGCUCACGCAUCGAUGAAGAACGUAGCAAAAUGCGAUACUUGGUGUGAAUUGCAGAAUCCCGUGAACCAUCGAGUUUUUGAACGCAAGUUGCGCCCGAAGCCAUCCGGUUGAGGGCACGCCUGCCUGGGUGUCACGC